UAGGGAAUCUUCGGCAAUGGGGGGAACCCUGACCGAGCAACGCCUCGUGAGUGAAGAAGGUUUUCGGAUCGUAAAGCUCUGUUGUUAAGGAAGAACGAGUGUGAGAAUGGAAAGUUCAUGCUGUGACGGUACUUAACCAGAAAGGGACGGCUAACUACGUGCCAGCAGCCGCGGUAAUACGUAGGUCCCGAGCGUUGUCCGGAUUUAUUGGGCGUAAAGCGAGCGCAGGCGGUUAGAAAAGUCUGAAGUGAAAGGCAGUGGCUCAACCAUUGUAGGCUUUGGAAACUGUUUAACUUGAGUGCAGAAGGGGGGAGUGGAAUUCCAUGUGUAGCGGUGAAAUGCGUAGAUAUAUGGAGGAACACCGGUGGCGAAAGCGGCUCUCUGGUCUGUAACUGACGCUGAGGCUCGAAAGCGUGGGGAGCGAACAGG
rnacentral:rRNA from 1 species